UCUCUUUGUUGAAUUAAUUUAAUUAAUUAGAUUUGUUAGGAACUACUAAUUAGGUGUAGUUAGUUUGCUAGCAUGAAAAGCGAUUCCUAGCUAGAUCGAUGUGUGCAAAACAAAGUGUAGUGUACGUACGUACGUGUGCAUAAUGAAGUGCAAAUUAAAUUUUCAUUACAUUCUCUAUUCUGGUUUGUGGAGAGAGAGAGACCCAACACGUCUUCCUUCCUUCCUUCUUAUUGAACACCAAUUUUAGGUAACAAUAACAAAGGCGAUGACACAAAUUCUACUGCAUGGGACCCUCCAAGUCACAAUCUAUGAGCUGGAUAACCUCAAGGCUGGAAGUGGUGGUAAUAUUUUAACCAAGUUGGUACAUAACAUCGAAGAGACUAUUGGUAUUGGGAAAGGAAUUACUAAACUAUAUGCAACCAUUGAUCUAGAGAAGGCACGGGUGGGAAGAACCAGAAUCAUAGAAAAGGAGCACACAAAUCCUAAAUGGUACGAGUCUUUCCACAUUUAUUGUGCUCAUAUGGCAUCAAGUAUUAUAUUCACAGUGAAAGAUGACAAUCCUAUUGGUGCAACCUUAAUUGGAAGAGCAUAUGUCCCCGCUGAGGAGAUCUUGGAUGGCAAAGAAAUAGACAGAUGGAUUGAAAUAUAGAUGAGCAUAAUAAACCUAUACAUUCACUUUCCAAGAUCCACGUGAAGCUGCAAUACUUCCAUGUUUCAAAAGACUUGAGCUGGGGCCAAGGCAUUGGAAGUCCUAAACUCCCUGGAGUGCCUUACACUUCUCACACAGAGACAAGGGUGUAAGGUUUCUCUGUACCAAGAUGCUCAUGUCCCAGACAACUUUGUCCCUAAAAUACCACUUGCUGGAGGCCACACUUACCAACCUCAUAGAUGUUGGGAAGAUGUUUUUGAUGCAAUCAAUAACGCACAACACUUGAUAUACAUUGCAGGAUGGUCUGUUUACACUGAGAUUACGUUGGUAAGAGAUUCUAGGAGGCCAAAGCGUAGGAGAUGCAACACUUGGUGAGCUUCUCAAGAAAAAAGCACGUGAUGGUGUCAGGGUUUUGAUGCUUGUUUGGGAUGAUAGAACUUCGGUUCCUUUGUUAAAAGAAGAUGGCUUGAUGGCAACUCAUGAUGAAGACACCGAGAACUACUUCUACGACAGUGAAGUGCACUGUGUUUUAUGCCCUCGAAAUCCUGACGAUGGAGGAAGCGUUGUUCAGGACGUAGAAAUUUUCUCCAUGUUUAGUCAUCAUCAGAAAAUUGUGGUAGUGGACAGUGCUUUGCCGAAUGGAAGAUCAGAUAAAAGAAGAAUUGUGAGUUUUGUUGGGGGUAUUGAUUUUUGUGAUGGAAGAUAUGACACUCAAUUUCACUCACUUUUUAGAACCUUGGGCACUGUACAUCAUGAUGAUUUUCAUCAGCCUAAUUUUUCACAUACUUCAAUAAAGAAAGGUGGUCCAAGGGAACCAUGGCAUGACAUUCACUCUCGGCUUGAAGGGCCUAUUGCAUGGGAUGUUUUGUUCAACUUUGAGCAAAGAUGGAAGAAGCAAGGUGGAAAGGACUUACUUAUUCCACCUAAAGAUCUUGAAAAUGUCAUUAUUCCCCCAUCAGUAGUAACUUACCCUGAAGACGAUGAGGCAUGGAACGUUCAGUUAUUUAGAUCCAUUGAUGGUGGAGCUGCUUUUGGGUUCCCAGAGACUCCUGAGGAAGCAGCUAGAUCUGGACUCAUUAGUGGGAAGGAUAAUAUAAUAGACCGUGGCAUUCAAGAUGCUUAUAUUAAAGCCAUUCGACGUGCCAAAAAUUUCAUCUAUAUUGAGAAUCAGUACUUUCUUGGAAGUUGUUAUGCUUGGAGUGCUGAUGGGAUUAAGCCUGAAGACAUUGGUGCUUUGCAUCUGAUACCGAGGGAGCUUUCACUUAAGAUUGUUAGCAAGAUUGAAGCUGGGGAAAGGUUCAGUGUUUAUAUUGUGGUUCCAAUGUGGCCAGAGGGUUACCCAGAAAAAGGAACGGUUCAAGCAAUAUUGGAUUGGCAGAGGAGAACAAUGGAUAUGAUGUACAAGGAUGUUGUUGGAGCACUAAAAGGCAAGGGUAUUGAGGAAGAUCCUCUCAACUAUUUGACAUUCUUCUGCCUCGUUAAUAGGGAGCUGAAGAAAGAAGGAGAGUAUGUGCCCCCAGAAAGACCAGAUCCUCAUACAGAUUAUAUGAGAGCACAAGUGUCCCGACGCUUCAUGAUUUAUGUUCAUGCCAAGAUGAUGAUAGUUGAUGAUGAAUACAUAAUCAUUGGAUCUGCCAACAUAAACCAGAGAUCAAUGGAUGGUGCGAGAGACUCUGAGGUGGCGAUGGGUGCUUAUCAACCCUAUCAUUUGGCUACCAAGCAGCCAGCAAGGGGACAAAUCCACGGUUUCCGCAUGUCAUUGUGGUAUGAGCACCUUGGCUUGCUUCAUGACUCCUUCCUCCAUCCUGAGAGUGAAGAAUGUAUUGAGAAGGUUAACCAGAUUGCAGACAAGUAUUGGGAUCUCUAUACUACUGAGCCACUUGAGCAAGACCUUCCUGGCCAUCUGCUUCGCUACCCUGUUGCGAUUUCCAGCCAAGGAAAUGUGACACAACUGCAAGCAUUUGAAUUCUUCCCUGACACAAAAGCUCCUAUUCUUGGGGCUAAAUCUGACUACAUUCCACCUAUCCUUACUACUUAAUAGUUUCAUCUUGUAUACUUUGUUCACAAAAUAUAGCAAGAGCUUGUGGGGUUAAGUUCCCAUUCGUUUGCAUAGAAAGAGGGUGAAAAAAAAAAAGAAAAUAAGAGGAAUGAACAGUAAAAUAACGUGAGAUCUACACUUUUUUAUUCUACAAUAAUUGCAGUGGUCUUCUGAAGAUGCUUUUCAUUUUAGCAUUUUUGCUUGCAUGACUUGACACACUUUGUUAACAAUGUUUCUAUUGUACAUGUCUUCAGUUGUUCGCCGGCAAUACGAUGUCAUUCUACCUCCCAGUUUUGAGUUCCUCAACUGCGUGAAAAAGUGCUUCUACCUCGACCUACAGAGAAUGCUCUCCUGGUUCAACGCUGUACAAACUCAGAGCUAUAUCACUUGGUUUUCUGACUCUCAUGAAGCACUGCUAAUGCUGUUGUCAAGAGGAGUAUUGAAUAGGUAACAAAGGUGAUGGCACAAAUUCUACUGCAUGGGACCCUUCAAGCCAAAAUCUAUGAGGUGGAUAACCUCAAGGUUGGAAGUGUUGGUAAUGUUUUAACCAAGUCGGUACAUAACAUCGAGGAGACUAAUGGUAUUGGGAAAGGAAUCACUAAGCUUUAUGCAACCGUUGAUUUAGAAAAGGCACGCGUGGGAAGGACUAGAAUUAUAGAAAAGGAGCACACAAAUCCUAAAGGGAACGAGUCCUUCCACAUUUAUUGUGCUCAUAUGGCAUCAAAUAUCAUAUUCACAGUGAAAGAUGACAAUCCUAUUGGUGCAACCUUAAUUGGAAGUGCAUAUGUCCCCGUUGAGGAGAUCUUGGAUGGCAAAGAAAUAGGUAGAUGGGUUGAAAUAUUGGAUGAGCAUAAUAAACCAAUACAUUCACUAUCCAAGAUCCACGUGAAGCUGCAAUAAUACUUCCAUGUUCCAAAAGACCUGAGCUGGGGCCAAUGCAUUGGAAGUCCUAAAUUCCCUGGAGUGUCUUACACUUACUUCUCACAAAGAUGCUCAUGUCCCAGACAACUUUGUACCUAAAAUACCACUUGCUGGAGGCCACACUUACCAACCUCAUAGAUGUUGGGAAGAUGUUUUUUAUGCAAUCAAUAACGCACGACACUUGAUAUACAUUCUAGGGUGGUUUGUUUACUCUGAGAUUACGUUGGUAAGAAAUUCUACAAGGCCAAAGCCUGGAGGAGAUAAUGUAACACUUGGUGAGCUUCUCAAGAAAAAAGCAAGAGAAGGUGUAAGGGUUUUAAUGCUUCUCUGGGAUGAUAGUGUAAAUGCCAUUCGACGAGCGAAAGAUUUCAUCUAUAUUGAGAAUCAAUAUUUCCUCGGAAGCAGUUAUGAUUGGAGUGCUGAUGGCAUUAAGCCUGAAGCCAUCGGUGCUUUGCUUAUAAUCCCGAAGGAGCUUUGACUUAAUAUUGUUAGUAAGAUUGAAACUGGGGAAAGGUUCAGUGUGUAUGUUGUGGUUCCAAUGUGGCCAGAGGGUGUCCCAGAAAGUGCAUCAGUUCAAGCAAUAUUGGAUUGGCAGAAGUGAACAAUGGAUAUGAUGUACAAGGAUGUUGUUGAGGCGCUCCGGGUCAAGGGAAUAGUGGAAAAUCCUCGGAACUAUUUGCAUUCUUCUGCCUUGGUAAUCGAUCGGGAGGUGAAGAAACAAGGAGAGUACGAACCUACAGAAAGACCUGAUCCUGAUACAGAUUAUAUCCGAGCCCAAGAGGCCCGGCGCUUCAUGAUUUAUGUUCAUGCCAAGAUGAUGAUAGUUGAUGAUGACACAUAAUCGUUGGAUCUGCCAACAUAAACCAGAGAUCAAUGGAUGGUGCCAGAGAUUCUGAGGUAGCCAUGGGUGCUUAUCAACCAUGUCACCUUGGCUUGCUUCAUGACUCCUUCCACCACCCUGAAAGUGAAGAAUGUAUUAAGAAGGUGAACCAAAUUGCUGACAAGUAUUGGGAUCUCUAUUCAAGUGAGUCACUUGAGCAUGACCUUCCUGGCCACCUGAUCCGAUAUCCUAUUGGGGUUUCCAGCGAAGGAGUUGUCACUGAGCUUCCGUUGAGUACGAGUCACUGCAUGACCUUCUUUGUGUAUUUUCAUUGUGCACUUGGUUGACAAGAUAGUAGUUUUGGUGUGUUACAAUGAGCAAUUAACAAUGGCAAUGGUCCUGAGAAGAUGGCCUACCACUACCAGGUUUCUUAAUUAAUUCUGUAUAGUGAGGUUGACUGACAGACUGACACAACAACGUUGUCAUUGUUCAGUCGAUUUUGUCUCGUAUAUAUUCCAUUUCAUUUUCAACAUCGUUCUGUUGGA